UCAUACGCAUGUACUACCCUGAAAAUGCCCUAUUUCAUCUGACCUCAGGAGCUAAGCAGGGUAAGAUCUGGUUAGAGCAUUGGUCGAAGAAAGAGGGGAGCUGGAGGAACUGGGGUAUGGC
rnacentral:rRNA from 1 species